GCCUAGGUGGUGAAAUGGAUCAGCUCGGCAGACCGCAUAUCUGUAAGUACGGGUUCGAGUCCCGCCUGAGGUU
rnacentral:tRNA from 1 species